AACAAACGCUGGCGGCGUGCCUAAUACAUGCAAGUCGAACGGGGUAGCAAUACCUAGUGGCGCACGGGUGAGGAACGCGGGGAUAAUCUGCCUUAGAGGGGGGGAGAACUAGUCGAAAGAUUAGCUAAUACCGCAUAAGACCACAGGAGCUGCGGCUCUAGGGGUCAAAGGUUUUUCGCUCUAAGAUGAGUCCGCGUAAGAUUAGCUAGUUGGUGAGGUAACGGCUCACCAAGGCGACGAUCUUUAACUGGUCUGAGAGGAUGAUCAGUCACACUGGAACUGAGACACGGUCCAGACUCCUACGGGAGGCAGCAGUAGGGAAUAUUGCACAAUGGAGGAAACUCUGAUGCAGCGACGCCGCGUGAGUGAUGAAGGCCUUCGGGUCGUAAAGCUCUGUCGCAGGGGAAUAACACAAUGAAUGUACCCUGUAAGAAAGGAUCGGCUAACUUCGUGCCAGCCGCCGCGGUAACAC
rnacentral:rRNA from 1 species